GUACUUUAGAAGAAGAGGGAUUGCAGACGGAGAAACAGAUGAUGGAAUUGAAAAUAAAGACAUACCCAGAACAGCGAGAGAUGAUGGACCAUGAGGAGAAAUUAGACGUACAGGAAAAACUGCUACAAGAAAGUUGCAUACUAGAAGAAAGAUUGAAGGAAAUGCAAACUUUACUAGCAAAAAAGAAAAAGUCCGUAGAAUUGUUGUACAAAAAAGCUAAGAGAAAAGGAAAUGUCCGAAGAAUUGUUGUACAAAAAGCUAAGAGAAAAGGAAAUGUCCAAUAAAUUGUUGUACAAAAAGCUAAGAGAAAAGGAAAUGUCCGAAGAAUUGUUGUACAAAAAGCUAAGAGAAAAGGAAAUGUCCAAUAAAUUGUUGUACAAAAAGUUACAGGAGAAGGAAAAACAAAGGCUGAAAGAUUUGAAACAGCUUCAGGAAGAGAAGGACGCACAGAACAAAGUCCUGCUGGAAGACCUUUGGAAAGAAGUUUCAGCAAAUGUAGAUGGUUUUAAAAUUCAGGUAGCAAGACAAGUGCAGGGCCUGUAGGAAGAAAAGGUCAAAAUAGAGAAUGAUAUAAGAGAAGAACUGUCUAAGAAGGAGGGAACAUCAGCUAAAAACU